CAAAACACUCCACUGGCAGAGUUGUGUUUGGGAACAGAGGUCCUACUUUCAUUUGCUGCUGAUGCAUUUGUUUAUAUCUAAUUGGCUUUAUUAGUCCAGGAGCUCAUAAUCACGAGUACUUGUGCCCAGGUUGCCUGAUACUUGUGCUCACCCACUGGGGUCAAAUAUAAUCACCAUCUCCCUUUGAUUACCAUAAACAUUUGAUAACCUGGCAGUUGGAGAGGUUUUAUCACUGUUCUCCAGGGAACUUGUUCCUCUGGCUCAGGAACACCCAGCUAAUGUCAAGGAGAUAAUUUCUAUGGAGAAGCUUAUCCUGUUUGUACAGGACAAGUCUUGGGACUAUAGAGUUACCAGGGCUUGUUGGCAGGACAAAGAAUGGCAACUGAGCGGAGAUGCCUGUUCCAGAUUGACACCCGGUGGAUGCUGCUGCUGUAAUCAGCACCGAGGAGCAUUUAUCACCUCCUCAGACCCUAAUGUGGGGAGCAGCUGAGUCCUGGCUCUGAAGAGGGUCCUGCCUCCCUCCCAGACACGAAGAUCUGAGUGCACACAUGGUUAAGCUGGGUAAAACAGCUCCAGGGAGCCAUGGCUGUCCCAGGCCAGGUGAUGGAGACUGCAUCAGAGCAAAGGAGGGCUGUGCCUCUUCUUGGACUGUCUUGGACAGAAGGGAUGAGAGUUGCCACAUGUACCUUUCUCUGCUGGAAAUUGGUCUUCCAAGUGGUGAAAUCUGCAGAAAUUCCUGUUUAUCCCCAGAGCAUCCUCUCUGACCUGGGAGAUGGGAGAGAAGUGCCUGGAGGAGGAGGGAGAUUGUGUCCCUUGGAGACAGGAGGCUCAGGAAAGGACAGCAAAUCCUGAAACUCGUGCAGCAGCCCCUUCUCCAGCUCCUUUCUCUUCUCUGGACACGCUCCAGCCCCUCAAUGUCCUUCCUGCUGGGGUCCCAAACAACCCAGGAUGUGAAGAGUGGUCUCACAGUGUGUCUGUCACUGCCCUGGUCCUGUGUCACCUUCCUGGGCACUGAUCCAGCUCUGACCCUGGUCCUGAGCUGUCCUGGUGUGUCCUGUGUCCCUUCCAGCUCCCUGCUGCCCUGGGCCCCUCUGCACCUUUCCUUGUGCGUGCUUAUUUUAACUAUGCUGUGGUCAAAGCACUAAAAAACAUUGAAUAAAAAGAGUUAUUUGGUUUCUCCA
rnacentral:lncRNA from 1 species